rnacentral:lncRNA from 10 species
CAAAAGCCUAAAGUUCAGAUAAUAUUUUGCUGAUAGAUAUUUCACUUCUGCAUGCUCUGGGGGAAGUCUUCUGUUGCUCCAUAUCUGCUCUCUUAUUACUAGCAAAAACAACUGUGAAUAUUCAGUUCAAUCCAUUUAAUAUCAAAACCGUGCAUUAAUUUUCUUUUCUUUUCUUUUUCUUUCUUUUUUGAGACGGAGUCUUCGCUUUGUCACCAGUCUGGAGUGCAGUGGCAUGAUCCCGGCUCACCGCAACCUCUGCCUCCCGGGUUCAAGUGAUUCUCCUGCCUCAGCCUCCUGAGCAGCUGGGACGACAGGUGCGCACCACCAUGCACAUCUAAUUUUUGUAUUUUUAGUAGAGAAGGGAUUUCGUCAUGUUGGCCAAGAUCUCUUGCCUUGUGACCCGCCAGCCUUGGUCUCCCAAAGUGCUGGGAUUACAGGCAUGAGCCACCACACCUGGCCACUUUAUUUUCAUAUUAAAAUUAUAUUCACAUGCCUAUUAUUAAAAAGUCAAAAAAUAACAUGUAGUUGAGGGUAUGGAGAAAAGGGAACACUUAGACACUGUUGGAGGGAAUGUAAAUUAGUUUCACCCCUAAGGAAAACACUAUGGAGAUUUCUCAAAGAACUGAAAAUAGAACUACCAUUUGACCCAGCAAUCCUAUUACUGGAUAUCUACCCAAAGGGAAAUAAAUCAUUUUAUCAAAAGACACCUGCACUUGUAUAUUUAGUAUAGCACUAUUCAUAAUUGCAAAGUUAUAGGUUCAACCUAAAUACCCAUCAAUGGUAGACUGGUGAAAAAGAAAAUGUAAUACACAUAUACCAUGGAAUACUACUCAGCCAUGAAUAAGAAUAAGAUCACGUCCUUUGCAGUAACAUGGAUGGGGCUGCAGUGAAAUAUCCUAAGUGAAAUAGAAGCAGAAAAUUAAAUACCACGUGUUCUCAUUAAUAAGGGGCAGCUAAACAAUGGGUAUGCAUGGACAUAAAGGUGGAAAUAACAGAUACUUGGGACUUUGAAAGGGAGAAGGGUGGGAGGGGAGAGGAUUGAAAAACUAGCUAUUGGAUACAAUGGUCACUCUUUGGGAGAUGGCUUCAGUAGAAACCCAAACCUCAGUAUUACACAAUAUCGCCCUGGAACAAACCUGUGCGUGAAACCCAAAUCUAAAAAUAAAAAAUAAACAAGGACACAUUAAAGACUUGAAAUAAAACAAAUCAAAACUAGACAGCUUCUCUUUCAAUCAGUCUUAUUUUGCCCUGAGUUUUUUGUCUUUGGUUUAUUGGGCCGGAGAACAAAUAAUCUAGCUGUACAACCAAAAUGAAUCACGGAGCCAAAACACAGUUACCCUGAAGCCUUCAUGGUGCUCAGCAUCUCUGCAGGGUUCCAGUACGGGUCCUGCUUGGCCACGGCUGAUCCCCUUCCUAGGCCAGGACAGCCACUGAAGUGACGCACUGCAAUGAGGGGAUAUGGAUGAUAAGUGCCAUCUUUAAUUAAUGAGAAACCUCACAUUUCCUUCUUAGAGGGCUAUCAUUUGGGACGCAGAGGGAGAAGACAGGACCGUCUCUGGCAAAAGCACACUGCCUUGUUGAUUGUGCAUUGUAGCAGUAAUGUACAAAUGCCAAAGGCAGAAUGAGGCAGAAUGACACUGGACAAUCACUGUGGGAGGAGGAAGAUGAGUUUAAAGUAAAGAUCAAAUUCUCCAGUCUGUCCUGAAAUGAAUCACAUGCUCAAGAACACAUCUCCAACUCUGCUUCUGAGAAAACAGACCUGAGACAAUGAUCUUCACUGGUUAUGUCUGCUUCCAAAAUGUGGUUUCUAUUGCUCUUACAGAAAGAACUAGUCAUUAUUGAGUACCAAAUAAAUGUCAGGUUUAUUGUAUAUGUUAUCUGUUUUAUCCUCCAAGCAAUUCUAUUGGGUGGGUAUUGCUACCUCAUUCUACGAAGAGAAUUCUUACUAAAGAAAGCUUAAAAGCCAGGUGCGGUGGCUCACGCCUGUAAUCCCAGCACUUUGGGAGACCCAGGUGGGCGGAUCAUGAGGUCAGGAGAUCGAGACCAUCCUGGCUAACACGGUGAAACCCUGUCUCUACUA